rfam:Cavia porcellus supercont2_19 genomic scaffold, whole genome shotgun sequence.
AGGGAUUUAGCUCAGCGGCGUAAGCACCUGCCUUGCAAGCAGGUCAUGAGUUCAAUCCUCAGUACCGA